rnacentral:tRNA from 1 species
CCCCGCUUGGCGGAAUUGGUAGACGCACGGGACUUAAAAUCCCUUGUCCACAGGGCGUGCCGGUUCGAGUCCGGCAGCGGGGA